GUUAGAUUUCUGGAGAACAUAUGGGAAGGAUUGAGUAUUUUGAAAGAGAGAAGAUUUCAUAAUUUAGAAAUCUCCUGUGGGCCUUUACUUAUGGGCAGAGGCUGAAGAGCCGUGAGAAGGAAGGAUAAUUAGACGGUUAGUCUUGACUUAUCAGAUGAGAUUCAGCUAUUAUUCUUCUCUUAUGUGGAGAGAUUUGUCUAUUAUUUCUUCCUUCUCUGCCUGCCAUCAUUUAUUCUUAAGAUUUGAAGAUUUAUAUGAGGGCUAAAAGUCUACUUUUUUUGCUUUGCCGAAUAAAAUCAGCUCAAGUGUCUUGUUGGAUCUGCUAGCAUUAAAGCGGGCUGAGCUAGAGGUACCUUCAUGUCUUUGUCUGCCUCACAUUUUUGGCCAGUAUGAAAGCAACCCCCAACAGUAGCUAUA
rnacentral:lncRNA from 1 species